UACGUAGGGGGCAAGCGUUGUCCGGAUUUAUUGGGCGUAAAGAGCGUGUAGGCGGUUUGGUAGGUCCGCUGUGAAAACUCGAGGCUCAACCUCGAGACGUCGGUGGAAACCGUUUGGCUAGAGUCCGGAAGAGGAGAGUGGAAUUCCCGGUGUAGCGGUGAAAUGCGCAGAUAUCGGGAAGAACACCCGUGGCGAAGGCGGCUCUCUGGGACGGUACUGACGCUGAGACGCGAAAGCGUGGGGAGCGAACAGG
rnacentral:rRNA from 1 species